rfam:Mus musculus chromosome 4, GRC primary reference assembly.
AUCGCUUCUCGGCCUUUUGGCUAAGAUCAAGUGUAGUAUCAAGUGCACAAGAGAGAGCAGGUUCAUUGCUCACUAAGUAUUUACAAGGCAAGGCUUCUGGGCCCAGCUAAAAAAGUAAACAGUUUCCAACUGAUAAUAUUUUCUUUAAU